UGUAUGGUCGAAUUAAAAAACAGUAUAACAGAGCUAGUUAGGAGCCUCCACAGCGAUUUGAUGCUCUGAACCGUCGGAUCACUCUCAUCUACGCACAAGAUUUCCUCGACCGUUUUCUGGGCUGCUGCUCCGGAGAACGAGUUACACUAAUUGUGGCUAAUCGGGCCGUUAGAUUCAAGGCCCACGAGCCUCUCGCAAGUCAGGUCGCCAAACCUAUCCUCGAGCUGCUCCCCUUUUCCUGGGCGCUGCGCCGCCGCCGGCGAGGUUCCUGCGUCCGCAGGCCCCCACGGUGGUCUCUUCUUCCCCAUGUCGUGCCCUCCAGCGUUGUAUCUGCGGGCCUGAGCACGCGCAACAAGCAACCAAUGAGCGGCUGGAGGAUCAGGCCACACAUGUUAGCUGGGCGACGAAGCCGACGUGAAUGCAUAUGCUCAUUAGUCCUCACGGCACAAACAGUCCCAAGACCAGGUUCUGAUUCUGAUAGAAUUUUCAGUUCACGCCUUCCUACUCAUGGAGGACAUUUGUGUCAAUAGGUAAAGUGGCAGUAAUGAUGCCCUAAAGUAUUAAGCCAAACAAUUGAUGUAGCAAUGCCGCUCGUGUUGCAGAAGGAGAUAAAUAUGGGCGCUUCUCAUAAAUGUGUGUAAAGAGAGAUCAUACCUGAAUCUCUGAGUAUAGUGGCCGAGCGAGGCAGUUUGAAAAAUACGAAUCUUUGUAGGCGUUGUUGCAUUGCAUGUUACCCAAGAGAUUUGCAUAUCAACUGCAGACGAUGCCCAAAAGGAAGUUCAGCAUAACCAUUUUACGUCAGAAGGUUUGUGGGCAGCAUAACCAUUUUACGUCAGAAGAUAGCUAAUUCUAUUGAGAUAUUCCACUGAAGAACUCUUGGAGAAUUCAAUUAUGUGCGAGAGCAGACAAGACAAUGAUAAAAUGUUCUACUCCCUCCGUUCCAUAAUGUAGUGCCUAUAGAUUUUUUUAUAAAGUCAAACUUUACAAACUUUGACCAUUCUGAUGAUUUUGAUAUAGGAAAAACGUGAACAGAUGAUUUAUAUGAUUAGUCGAUAAGUUCUAAUUAAUGUUUGAUAAUUAUU